rnacentral:lncRNA from 1 species
CACAAAUUGGGUGGCUGAAUCUCCUUCUUGGGUCAGUGGGUGGAUGAAAACUUGGUGUCUGCAGUUGCUGAUUAAACUCCUGGGUCUAGCAAUGGCUGCAAUGGAAUGAACUCCUACUGUCCAACACAGCAGACAAUGUAUGAAGAUAAACCACAGUCCCAGGAAGCACCACAGCCCAGCAGCUCCUGUCUCCAUCCCUGCUGAGUGCUUAAAGAGAAUCCACCACCUGGGAUGUAGCACAGUCUCACUAAUCCCCACCAACUUUUUGUCCAGGUAUUUCUAGGACCCGCAGUCUUCAGAUGGAUGUGGAAAGGACUCCUGGGAGUGGAGAAGAAUAUCAUAGUGCUGCAAAAAGCAGAGACUAUGCAGUAAAGGAUAAAUGCCCAAUUUUCUAAGUGACUAUUCAGGAAGCUCAUCACAUGUCAAUUAGUGCUUUGUGAGCCAAACAGAUUCUGGAUUAAAUGGAAACAAGUGACCUCAACAAUAGACCAUGCAUCUCUAUUUUUUUCCUCCACAAUGCUUUCCUGCAGAAUGGGGUUUACCAGAGGAGCUGUGAUUUCCACUACUGUUGAUGUGGCACCUGUAAUGUGUUUGCAGAGCGGUGGCAUUUUAAAGCAAUAAAUCCCAAGUUUUAUUUGGAGUUUCACUUGUCACACAUAGUGUGAGGAAAAGGAACUUCUGUCCAGAAACAGUUCUAGGCCAGCUUGUGCUGACUAAACAAAAACGAAAAAUAAAAGGGCAUUAUGGAGCCAAUAAAAUUGGGACCGUUAAAAUCACAUGUUUUAUAGCUACAAAUUUCAUUCCACCCAUAUCUGACACCUGAUUUUAAAUAACUAAUUUACUUGUGACUUUAGAGCCACUGAUGGCACAAUUACGGUCUAUUCAUUAACAUAAAAUUUCCUCAAACAAUAUUGGUACAUCCAGCAUUUGGAAUAUAAAAAACUGGAAUUCUUCACGGUAGAAAGCAUUUUAAUCAUUUGUUGAGGUCCCUUUUAAAGAAGAGGUAUAAGAGUAAUAGGAAUUUAAGAGAAAUUACAGUUCACAUACAUAGCAGACUGGGUUACUAACUUCAAAUAUAGACAGGUCCCCAUUUAUUGAUACAGACAUAAUAAUUUGGGUAUUACAGCUACUUCAAAAACAUAAAACUAUAAGAUGGAACUUUUAGACAUAACUGCUCCCUUGUCAGCCAGCCUCUGGAAUUCAUGAAGUUUUUCUGCUUUAGACCUUUUCUAGGCUGACAUUUACUGCCCAGGAUCCUCUUCCACUAUUGCUGUGGAAGUCAAAUGUUCCACUGGUAGCAGAGCUGCCUCUUCCUCAUAUCAGGCAACCAGCUGCUUCCCACUUUCACUAGGACCUCACCCAGGCUUGCUCCUCCCUUUCCUAAGAAAGAUCAGACUAGAGCUGGCCCUCUGCUACCAGGGUUGUGGGAUGUCUUAGACACAUAACUAUCACUUACAACCUUAUUUUUAUAGGAAAGUAGCAAACUUAUUUUGGGAAUGUACGGAGAAUAACUAGGCUCUCCUAGUGAUGAUUCUCAGUGACUGGCAUGGCACAUAUUGAAGUGAAUGAAAAACAGGUAGAAGAAACUCAAGGAUCCCAUCCUGGACAUUCAGAGUCUUAAUUUUAAAGAAGCACUCAGAUCAAGAUGACCGAACUCCAGCAUUUUUUCUAAUAUCAUAAUUACUCAUAGUCACUGAAUUAUUAAAACACGAGGUUUCAAAUAACCUAACAAAAAUUGCAACUGGCUAAAUGUUUAAGUUAAUGCAAAAAAUUCAACAAUUACAAUAAAUUACUAGUGAUUCAAAACUCAAUUGGGUUGAAUAUUUCCCCUAUUAAAUCAAGGGUGGAGAUUUAAAAUGUACUUGUAUUAUUUUUAACAAUAAAAGUAUUUAAAAAUAACAUCAUUUUAAAAAACAGAAACAGAAACAGAAUCCUGAUUUAAAGUCUUCACUACAUGUGGUUUUCUGCAUAAGGGUUUUAACACAUGCAUUUUAUAUAAUAUAUUUGCAUACAUAGUAACAACUGGUACUGCAAUGCUUAAUC